GGCGAACGCUGGCGGCAUGCUUAACACAUGCAAGUCGAACGGAAAGGCCCUACUUUUGUGGGGUGCUCGGGUGGCGAACGGGUGAGUAACACGUGAGUAACCUGCCCUUGACUUUGGGAUAACUUCAGGUAACUGGGGCUAAUACCGGAUAGGAUCUCCUGCUGCAUUGUGGGGAUUGGAAAGUUUCGGCGGUUGGGGAUGGACUCGCGGCUUAUCAACUUGCUGGUGGGGUAGUGGCUUACCAAGGCUUUGACGGGUACCCGGCCUGAGAGGGUGACCGGCCACAUUGGUACUGAGAUACGGCCCAGACUCCUACGGGAGGCAGCAGUGGGGAAUAUUGCACAACGGGCCGAAGCCUGAUGCAGCAACGCCGCGUGCGGGAUGACGGCCUUCGGGUUGAAAACCGCUGUCGCCUGUGACGAAGCGGUAGUGACGGUAAUGGGUAAAGAAGCACCGGCUAACAACGUG
rnacentral:rRNA from 1 species